AGCGAACGCUGGCGGCAGGCUUAACACAUGCAAGUCGAGCGGGCACUUCGGUGUCAGCGGCAGACGGGUGAGUAAUACGUGGGAACGUACCCUUUGGUUCGGAAUAACGCUGGGAAACUAGCGCUAAUACCGGAUACGCCCUUUUGGGGAAAGGCUUGCUGCCGAAGGAUCGGCCCGCGUCUGAUUAGCUAGUUGGUGGGGUAAUGGCCUACCAAGGCGACGAUCAGUAGCUGGUCUGAGAGGAUGAUCAGCCACACUGGGACUGAGACACGGCCCAGACUCCUACGGGAGGCAGCAGUGGGGAAUAUUGGACAAUGGGCGCAAGUCUGAUCCAGCCAUGCCGCGUGAGUGAUGAAGGCCUUAGGGUUGUAAAGCUCUUUUGUCCGGGACGAUAAUGACGGUACCGGAAGAAUAAGCCCCGGCUAACUUCGUG
rnacentral:rRNA from 1 species